CAUCGCCACGGUAAUACGAAGGGUGCAAGCGUUAAUCGGAAUUACUGGGCGUAAAGCGUGCGUAGGCGGUUUGUUAAGUCUGCUGUGAAAUCCCCGGGCUCAACCUGGGAAUGGCAGUGGAUACUGGCAAGCUAGAGUGUGUCAGAGGAUGGUGGAAUUCCCGGUGUAGCGGUGAAAUGCGUAGAGAUCGGGAGGAACAUCAGUGGCGAAGGCGGCCAUCUGGGGCAACACUGACGCUGAGGCACGAAAGCGUGGGGAGCAAACAGGAUUAGAUACCCCCGUAGUCCCUGUCUCUUAUACC
rnacentral:rRNA from 1 species